GUGCUCGCUUCGGCAGUACAUAUACUAAAAUUGGAAUGAUGCAGAGAAGAUUAGCAUGGCCCCUGCGCAGGGAGGAGAUGCAAAUUCAUGAAGCAUUCCAUAUUUUU
ensembl:snRNA U6 U6 spliceosomal RNA